GACGAACGCUGGCGGCGUGCUUAACACAUGCAAGUCGAACGGAAAGGCCCUGCUUUUGUGGGGUGCUCGAGUGGCGAACGGGUGAGUAACACGUGAGUAACCUGCCCACAACUUUGGGAUAACGCUAGGAAACUGGUGCUAAUACUGGAUAUGUGCUCCUGCUGCAUGGUGGGGGUUGGAAAGCUCCGGCGGUUGUGGAUGGACUCGCGGCCUAUCAGCUUGUUGGUGGGGUAGUGGCCUACCAAGGCGGCGACGGGUAGCCGGCCUGAGAGGGUGACCGGCCACAUUGGGACUGAGAUACGGCCCAGACUCCUACGGGAGGCAGCGGUGGGGAAUAUUGCACAAUGGGCGCAAGCCUGAUGCAGCAACGCCGCGUGCGGGAUGACGGCCUUCGGGUUGUAAACCGCUUUCAGCAGGGACGAAGCUUUUUGUGACGGUACCUGCAGAAGAAGCACCGGCUAACUACGUG
rnacentral:rRNA from 1 species